UUUUGCCAUGUGAUUAUGGACUUUCCUAAUUGAUUUUCCUCUAAGUUCAGUAUUUUUGUGAUUUUACUUUUUACAUCAGAAUAAUCCAGGAAAAAUACAGCAAAGUUUUUAGCAAUGUGCGACAUUGAUCCAGUUGUAGAAACAAUACCAACAACAACUAGAUACGACAAAACCAAAAGAAAAGACAUUUUCUUUGCCACAGAGUCGCAUCAAAUUUCUUCUAGAUCGUGUGAUUUCAUAGUAAAUACAGGAGAUCCUUCACAAUUUUUUGGCAAAAAAAACCAAUUCUACAGACAUUCAUUUAGGAACAAUGUGUACACGUGGGUACUGCUG
rnacentral:lncRNA from 1 species